AACGAACGCUGGCGGCAGGCCUAACACAUGCAAGUCGAGCGAACCCUUCGGGGUUAGCGGCGGACGGGUUAGUAACGCGUGGGAAUAUACCCUUUGGUACGGAAUAGCCUCGGGAAACUGAGAGUAAUACCGUAUGUGCCCUUCGGGGGAAAGAUUUAUCGCCAAAGGAUUAGCCCGCGUUGGAUUAGAUAGUUGGUGGGGUAAUGGCCUACCAAGUCUACGAUCCAUAGCUGGUUUGAGAGGAUGAUCAGCAACACUGGGACUGAGACACGGCCCAGACUCCUACGGGAGGCAGCAGUGGGGAAUCUUAGACAAUGGGCGCAAGCCUGAUCUAGCCAUGCCGCGUGGACGAUGAAGGCCUUAGGGUUGUAAAGUCCUUUCGCUGGGGAAGAUAAUGACUGUACCCAGUAAAGAAGCUCCGGCUAACUCCGUG
rnacentral:rRNA from 1 species